rnacentral:rRNA from 1 species
GAUGAACGCUGGCGGCGUGCCUAACACAUGCAAGUCGAGCGAUCUACUUCGGUAAAGAGCGGCGGACGGGUGAGUAACGCGUGGGUAACCUGCCCUGUACACACGGAUAACAUACCGAAAGGUAUGCUAAUACGAGAUAAUAUGCUUUUAUCGCAUGGUAGAAGCAUCAAAGCUUUUGCGGUACAGGAUGGACCCGCGUCUGAUUAGCUAGUUGGUAAGGUAACGGCUUACCAAGGCGACGAUCAGUAGCCGACCUGGGAGGGUGAUCGGCCACAUUGGAACUGAGAAACGGUCCAAACGACUACGGGAGGCAGCAGUGGGGAAUAUUGCACAAUGGGCGAAAGCCCGAUGCAGCAACGCCGCGUGAGCGAUGAAGGCCUACGGGUCGUAAAGCUCUGUCCUCAAGGAAGAUAAUGACGGUACUUGAGGAGGAAGCCCCGGCUAACUACGUGCCAGCCGCCGCCGUAA